rnacentral:sRNA from 1 species
GCCGCUGCUUUUGCCCAUAUGCAACGGCGACACCGGCCAGCGUUUACCAACCGGCGCUGGCCGGUAACC